rnacentral:rRNA from 1 species
UACAGAGGGUGCAAGCGUUGUUCGGAAUUACUGGGCGUAAAGCGUCUGUAGGUGGUUUAAUAAGUCAACUGUUAAAUCUUGAGGCUCAACUUCAAAAUCGCAGUCGAAACUAUUAGACUAGAGUAUAGUAGGGGUAAAGGGAAUUUCCAGUGGAGCGGUGAAAUGCGUAGAGAUUGGAAAGAACACCAAUGGCGAAAGCACUUUACUGGGCUAUCACUGACACUGAGAGACGAAAGCUAGGGUAGCAAAUGGG